AUGUCUCCAGUAAUGAAACUGACGAUCCUCCUGAUACAUCUCCUAGUGGUCUUCCCUGCAUGCAUUGCUUCACAGAUCACCCUGACAGAGUCGGGUGGUGGCAUCAAGAGGCCAGGAGAUACUCUACAACUGACCUGCACAGUCUCAUUUGAUUUAACAAGCUAUUCUGUGAGCUGGGUCCGUCAGCCACCAGGGAAAGGGAUGGAGUGGAUAGGAGUCAUAUGGACCGGUGGAAGCACUAACUAUAAUAGUGCUCUCCAAAGCCUCAUGAGCAUCACCAGAGACACCUCCAAAAGGCAGGUUUUCCUGCAGCUGAACAGCCUGAGAGCAGAGGACACCUCCAUGUAUUACUGCGCUAGAUACACAGAGAGAAAAACCUUGCUAGAGGCAAGCCAAAAACUCCCUUUCUAA